rnacentral:rRNA from 1 species
GACGAACGCUGGCGGCGUGCUUUACACAUGCAAGUCGAACGGAAAGGCCCGGCUUUUGUGGGGGGCUCGAGGGGCGAAAGGGUGAGAAACACGUGAGUAACCCGCCCUUGACUUUGGGGUAACUUCAGGAAAAUGGGGCUAAUACCGGAUAGGGGCUCCUGCUGCAGGGGGGGGGUUGGAAAGCUUCGGCGGUUGGGGAUGGACUCGCGGCUGAUCAGCUUGUUGGUGGGGUAGUGGCUUACCAAGGCUUUGACGGGUAGCCGGCCUGAGAGGGUGACCGGCCACAUUGGGACUGAGAUACGGCCCAGACUCCUACGGGAGGCAGCAGUGGGGAAUAUUGCACAAUGGGCGGAAGCCUGAUGCAGCAACGCCGCGUGCGGGAUGACGGCCUUCGGGUUGUAAACCGCUUUCGCCUGUGACGAAGCGUGAGUGACGGUAAUGGGUAAAGAAGCACCGGCUAACUACGUG